rnacentral:siRNA from 1 species
UCCAUUCGGGUGAGCCAACUU